UACAGAGGUGGCGAGCGUUGUUCGGAAUUACUGGGCGUAAAGGGCGCGUAGGCGGUCCGAUAAGUCCUGUGUGAAAUCCCUCGGCUCAACUGAGGAACUGCACGGGAGACUGCCGGGCUUGAGUUCGGGAGAGGGAAGCGGAAUUCCGGGUGUAGCGGUGGAAUGCGCAGAUAUCAGGAGGAACACCAAUAGCGAAGGCAGCUCGCUGGGACGUUACUGACACUGAGGCGCGAAAGCGUGGGGAGCGAACAGG
rnacentral:rRNA from 1 species